GCCAAAUGAUGUGUUUGACAGAGGAGCACCUGUGUGCAAGGACGACUCUUAUCUAUCACCCAUGACUGAUGGCU